AUGACUGAUGGCUGAGAAGGGAGGGUAGAGGACGGAGGUUUGACUGCAGAUUUGGACGAUGAGUGCCGGUAAAAGUACCCGAUGCACCAUUCAGAAGGCAUAGGACAUCGCAGGAAGGAAGGGUAUUUCACCGCAGGAUGUCCUAAAAUGCGUUCCGUAAAUGCAGGGGGAUGGCCAGGAAAGGAGAAUCACGACAAGUAUGAAAAAUUCCUCCUAUCACAGUGCUCUUUCUCGAGUGCAACAUUUUCCCAUAACUACAGCAUCAUUGUGACUGCGAGGAGGGAGAUGCACCUAAUGCAAAUUGCACUGAUGAGUCAAAUUUUUUGUAAGCCUGCAACUGCACCUGAGACUUCCUAAUCUCUGUGUGGGAUUUCAAAUCCAAACUACAAAACUGAUUGUUAAAUAAACAAUGAUCAGAUGAAGAAUUUAUUUCUCUUGAUGAGGAAGUCUGUUUCUUCGGUGAUUUGGAUGAUACUGAGGUAUCUCAACACAGAGGAUACUAAAAUAGGGCAUACCCAGGUUUUGGUGGUGGGAAGAAGAUUAAAGAACGUCUUCAGAACCUGGUCAGUUUGGCGCACCGACAACUGGGUUUUAGAUAUCCUAAAGUUGAGGUACAAGCUGGCAUUCGGAAGAAUACUGCUACAGAAAUUUCCAUUCCUGGAUUCCAAAGAAAAUUGUCAAGUGAAAUAAAACUUCUUUUGUGUGUGCAA